rnacentral:rRNA from 1 species
AGUUUGAUCCUGGCUCAGGAUGAACGCUAGCUACAGGCUUAACACAUGCAAGUCGAGGGGCAGCAUUGGAGUAGCAAUACUUCAGAUGGCGACCGGCGCACGGGUGAGUAACACGUAUCCAACCUGCCGCUUACUCGGGGAUAGCCUUUCGAAAGAAAGAUUAAUACCCGAUGGUAUAAAGAGUUCGCAUGUUCUCUUUAUUAAAGAAUUUCGGUAAGCGAUGGGGAUGCGUUCCAUUAGAUAGUUGGCGGGGUAACGGCCCACCAAGUCUACGAUGGAUAGGGGUUCUGAGAGGAAGGUCCCCCACAUUGGAACUGAGACACGGUCCAAACUCCUACGGGAGGCAGCAGUGAGGAAUAUUGGUCAAUGGACGAGAGUCUGAACCAGCCAGGUAGCGUGAAGGAUGACUGCCCUAUGGGUUGUAAACUUCUUUUAUAAGGGAAUAAAGUGAGGGACGUGUCCCUUUUUGUAUGUACCUUAUGAAUAAGGAUCGGCUAACUCCGUGCCAGCAGCCGCGGUAAUACGGAGGAUCCAAGCGUUAUCCGGAUUUAUUGGGUUUAAAGGGAGCGUAGGUUGACAUAUAAGUCAGCUGUGAAAGUUUACGGCUCAACCGUGAAAUUGCAGUUGAUACUGUAUGUCUUGAGUGUACAAGAGGUGGGCGGAAUUCGUGGUGUAGCGGUGAAAUGCUUAGAUAUCACGAAGAACUCCAAUUGCGAAGGCAGCUCACUGGGGUACAACUGACACUGAGGCUCGAAAGUGUGGGUAUCAAACAGGAUUAGAUACCCUGGUAGUCCACACAGUAAACGAUGAAUACUCGCUGUUUGCGAUAUACAGUAAGCGGCCAAGCGAAAGCAUUAAGUAUUCCACCUGGGGAGUACGCCGGCAACGGUGAAACUCGAAGGAAUUGACGGGGGCCCGCACAAGCGGAGGAACAUGUGGUUUAAUUCGAUGAUACGCGAGGAACCUUACCCGGGCUUGAAUUGCAGAGGAAUAUAGUUGAAAGAUUAUAGCCGCAAGGUCUCUGUGAAGGUGCUGCAUGGUUGUCGUCAGCUCGUGCCGUGAGGUGUCGGCUUAAGUGCCAUAACGAGCGCAACCCUUAUCAUUAGUUACUAACAGGUCAUGCUGAGGACUCUAGUGAGACUGCCGUCGUAAGAUGUGAGGAAGGUGG